rnacentral:rRNA from 1 species
GAUGAACGCUGGCGGCGUGCCUAAUACAUGCGAGUCGAGCGAACAGAUGAGGAGCUUGCUCCUCUGACGUUAGCGGCGGACGGGUGAGUAACACGUGGAUAACCUACCUAUAAGACUGGGAUAACUUCGGGAAACCGGAGCUAAUACCGGAUAAUAUAUUGAACCGCAUGGUUCAAUAGUGAAAGACGGUUUUGCUGUCACUUAUAGAUGGAUCCGCGCCGCAUUAGCUAGUUGGUAAGGUAACGGCUUACCAAGGCAACGAUGCGUAGCCGACCUGAGAGGGUGAUCGGCCACACUGGAACUGAGACACGGUCCAGACUCCUACGGGAGGCAGCAGUAGGGAAUCUUCCGCAAUGGGCGAAAGCCUGACGGAGCAACGCCGCGUGAGUGAUGAAGGUCUUCGGAUCGUAAAACUCUGUUAUUAGGGAAGAACAAAUGUGUAAGUAACUAUGCACGUCUUGACGAUACCUAAUCAGAAAGCCACGGCUAACUACGUG